UACGAAGGGGGCGAGCGUUGUUCGGAAUUACUGGGCGUAAAGGGCGCGUAGGCGGUGUGCCAAGUCAGGCGUGAAAGCCCCGGGCUCAACCUGGGAACGGCGCUUGAGACUGGCACGCUCGAGUUCGGGAGAGGAUGGUGGAAUUCCCAGUGUAGAGGUGAAAUUCGUAGAUAUUGGGAAGAACACCGAUGGCGAAGGCAGCCAUCUGGACCGACACUGACGCUGAGGCGCGAAAGCGUGGGGAGCAAACAGG
rnacentral:rRNA from 1 species